AUUAGAGUGGCUGAAAUUAAUAGGCAAUAAAUUGUAAAUUUAUUUAUGGAAAAAUAAUUCCUUCUAGUA
rnacentral:tRNA from 1 species